AGGGUGUGUGUCUGCGUACGAUCGCAGGAGAAGGGGAAAAAGGGGGUGUAAACCCUAACCACAAAAAAAUCAUCAAUUGAAAAGGAAAUCGCGGGUUGAUUGUGUGCAUGAACCAAGAAUGAUGAUCCCUUAAGCGUUUCUCACAUCAAUGAUGCGAACGUGUCAAGGAGAGGUCAAGCAUAGGAGGAUAACGGGUCAAGAUAAGGCAAGGUGACAAAUACACUUAUUGGAGUACUCGAGGUAAGUGAAUUUCGAUUCACUUUUUAGUAGGUUUAAUAGAUUUUAAUACUUUUGUUUACGAAACAUCAUGAAAGAACAUGUAAUAAUCAGAAGUACAAAGCCAAUAAUGCCUCAUUAUUGAAGAAGGUUGUAUUUAAGCCGAAAGUAAAUUGGUGGGUUUAAACGGGUCGAAUUUUAUGUGCAUAUGUUGCGUAAUGUAAUGAAAUUCGUUAUGGUUAAGACAUUGGGUAAGAAUUUUUAGUCAUUAUGUAAGGGGAACAUUUCCCGGACCAUUAGGAACAAGUUUUAUAUGAUUCGGUUGUCGGUUAGUGAAUGAACGGAUUGUUUCGUGUUAGUGUAGGAAAUUUUAUAAGUAUAUGUGUAUAGGAAUCCAAAUGGCACGUGGGUUGAAUCAUAGAUUGUCUAUACUAUGUAAAGUUGUGCAUGUGACAUUCCGGCAUAAACCUACAUGUAAAAGAAGCUUGUGUAUAUAUUCGUGAUUAAUUGAUUGUGCGUAGGAAGGAACAUUGGCAUGUAUGAAGGUACGCAUGUAUAUAUAUAAGUGUAUAUAUAUAUGUAUGUAUGUAUGAUAAUAAGUACGUAGGUGUGAAUGUGUGUGUGAAUGAAUGUUCAAUGCUUAAGACAUAUGCAUGAACGUUAUCAAAGUGUUCGAGUAUUUAUGGAUACUAAUGAUGUGCGUUGAGUUGGAAUGUAAUGUAGGUAUGGGAUCGUUGGCUUCAUGAAGAAAUGGAGCUGGAUUUGGAUAAGAGUAUUUAAGAAAGCGCUUGGACAAUUCCACGACUACUUUAUAGAAUGCUCUACGAAAUUCUAUUAUAUAGUUUAAUGUUGUAUGGUAUGUUAAUGACUAAUGGUUUGGUUGUACGUGGUGUCCACAGGUAUCGCUUGGGUUUUCUCUACAUUUAUUGAAGUGAAGCGGACUUAGUUCGAGUUGAGAGCAAGGAUUGUACGGGGUAGAAUGGUCACAUAGUGUAACUCAUAUAGGUUUUGAAGUAUUAAUGUUAUAAAACGUUAUAAUUCGUUUUAAUGAAUAUAUGGCAUUUCGCAUUUGAACCUUCAUGUGUUUGAUAUGUCUAUUAAAGAACGAAAUUUUUGGGCUCUUGUUUUCCGCUGCGUCGUAUUUUAAGUUAUUACGCGUUAGUCUUACAGGGAAUUGUUCUUAUUACGAACGGGUCAUGCCCGAAUUUUGUUAAAUAAUAGUAUGAUAAUAUUACAUUUUGGAAUGUGUAAUUUGGGCGUAUCAAAACCGUAUGUUUAUAAUUAUUAUUCAUGUUAGUCACCAACGUUCGAGAGUUAUAAUGUGUGUGUUCCGGUAAUUCCCCGAAUUACCAAAGUAGACCCAUUUAACUAACCUUAGUUAAAUGCAGUGCUAUGAAUGUAUGACUAAGUUAACUAUGGUUAGGUUAAAGUAUUAACCUGAAAUUGCGGGUUGUCACAAUAA
rnacentral:lncRNA from 1 species